UUAAGCGACUAAGCGUACACGGUGGAUGCCCUGGCAGUCAGAGGCGAUGAAGGACGUGCUAAUCUGCGAUAAGCGUCGGUGAGGUGAUAUGAACCGUUAUAACCGGCGAUUUCCGAAUGGGGAAACCCAGUGUGUUUCGACACACUAUCAUUAACUGAAUCCAUAGGUUAAUGAGGCGAACCGGGGGAACUGAAACAUCUAAGUACCCCGAGGAAAAGAAAUCAACCGAGAUUCCCCCAGUAGCGGCGAGCGAACGGGGAGGAGCCCAGAGCCUGAAUCAGUGUGUGUGUUAGUGGAAGCGUCUGGAAAGGCGUGCGAUACAGGGUGACAGCCCCGUACACAAAAAUGCACAUAUUGUGAGCUCGAUGAGUAGGGCGGGACACGUGGUAUCCUGUCUGAAUAUGGGGGGACCAUCCUCCAAGGCUAAAUACUCCUGACUGACCGAUAGUGAACCAGUACCGUGAGGGAAAGGCGAAAAGAACCCCGGCGAGGGGAGUGAAAAAGAACCUGAAACCGUGUACGUACAAGCAGUGGGAGCCUCUUAAUGGGGUGACUGCGUACCUUUUGUAUAAUGGGUCAGCGACUUAUAUUCUGUAGCAAGGUUAACCGAAUAGGGGAGCCGAAGGGAAACCGAGUCUUAACUGGGCGUUAAGUUGCAGGGUAUAGACCCGAAACCCGGUGAUCUAGCCAUGGGCAGGUUGAAGGUUGGGUAACACUAACUGGAGGACCGAACCGACUAAUGUUGAAAAAUUAGCGGAUGACUUGUGGCUGGGGGGGAAAGGCCAAUCAAACCGGGAGAUAGCUGGUUCUCCCCGAAAGCUAUUUAGGUAGCGCCUCGUGAAUUCAUCUCCGGGGGUAGAGCACUGUUUCGGCAAGGGGGUCAUCCCGACUUACCAACCCGAUGCAAACUGCGAAUACCGGAGAAUGUUAUCACGGGAGACACACGGCGGGUGCUAACGUCCGUCGUGAAGAGGGAAACAACCCAGACCGCCAGCUAAGGUCCCAAAGUCAUGGUUAAGUGGGAAACGAUGUGGGAAGGCCCAGACAGCCAGGAUGUUGGCUUAGAAGCAGCCAUCAUUUAAAGAAAGCGUAAUAGCUCACUGGUCGAGUCGGCCUGCGCGGAAGAUGUAACGGGGCUAAACCAUGCACCGAAGCUGCGGCAGCGACACUAUGUGUUGUUGGGUAGGGGAGCGUUCUGUAAGCCUGUGAAGGUGGCCUGUGAGGGUUGCUGGAGGUAUCAGAAGUGCGAAUGCUGACAUAAGUAACGAUAAAGCGGGUGAAAAGCCCGCUCGCCGGAAGACCAAGGGUUCCUGUCCAACGUUAAUCGGGGCAGGGUGAGUCGACCCCUAAGGCGAGGCCGAAAGGCGUAGUCGAUGGGAAACAGGUUAAUAUUCCUGUACUUGGUGUUACUGCGAAGGGGGGACGGAGAAGGCUAUGUUGGCCGGGCGACGGUUGUCCCGGUUUAAGCGUGUAGGCUGGUUUUCCAGGCAAAUCCGGAAAACCAAGGCUGAGGCGUGAUGACGAGGCACUACGGUGCUGAAGCGACAAAUGCCCUGCUUCCAGGAAAAGCCUCUAAGCAUCAGGUAACAUCAAAUCGUACCCCAAACCGACACAGGUGGUCAGGUAGAGAAUACCAAGGCGCUUGAGAGAACUCGGGUGAAGGAACUAGGCAAAAUGGUGCCGUAACUUCGGGAGAAGGCACGCUGAUAUGUAGGUGAAGCGACUUGCUCGUGGAGCUGAAAUCAGUCGAAGAUACCAGCUGGCUGCAACUGUUUAUUAAAAACACAGCACUGUGCAAACACGAAAGUGGACGUAUACGGUGUGACGCCUGCCCGGUGCCGGAAGGUUAAUUGAUGGGGUUAGCGGUAACGCGAAGCUCUUGAUCGAAGCCCCGGUAAACGGCGGCCGUAACUAUAACGGUCCUAAGGUAGCGAAAUUCCUUGUCGGGUAAGUUCCGACCUGCACGAAUGGCGUAAUGAUGGCCAGGCUGUCUCCACCCGAGACUCAGUGAAAUUGAACUCGCUGUGAAGAUGCAGUGUACCCGCGGCAAGACGGAAAGACCCCGUGAACCUUUACUAUAGCUUGACACUGAACAUUGAGCCUUGAUGUGUAGGAUAGGUGGGAGGCUUUGAAGUGUGGACGCCAGUCUGCAUGGAGCCGACCUUGAAAUACCACCCUUUAAUGUUUGAUGUUCUAACGUUGGCCCGUAAUCCGGGUUGCGGACAGUGUCUGGUGGGUAGUUUGACUGGGGCGGUCUCCUCCUAAAGAGUAACGGAGGAGCACGAAGGUUGGCUAAUCCUGGUCGGACAUCAGGAGGUUAGUGCAAUGGCAUAAGCCAGCUUGACUGCGAGCGUGACGGCGCGAGCAGGUGCGAAAGCAGGUCAUAGUGAUCCGGUGGUUCUGAAUGGAAGGGCCAUCGCUCAACGGAUAAAAGGUACUCCGGGGAUAACAGGCUGAUACCGCCCAAGAGUUCAUAUCGACGGCGGUGUUUGGCACCUCGAUGUCGGCUCAUCACAUCCUGGGGCUGAAGUAGGUCCCAAGGGUAUGGCUGUUCGCCAUUUAAAGUGGUACGCGAGCUGGGUUUAGAACGUCGUGAGACAGUUCGGUCCCUAUCUGCCGUGGGCGCUGGAGAACUGAGGGGGGCUGCUCCUAGUACGAGAGGACCGGAGUGGACGCAUCACUGGUGUUCGGGUUGUCAUGCCAAUGGCACUGCCCGGUAGCUAAAUGCGGAAGAGAUAAGUGCUGAAAGCAUCUAAGCACGAAACUUGCCCCGAGAUGAGUUCUCCCUGACUCCUUGAGGGUCCUGAAGGAACGUUGAAGACGACGACGUUGAUAGGCCGGGUGUGUAAGCGCAGCGAUGCGUUGAGCUAACCGGUACUAAUGAACCGUGAGGCUUAACCUU
rnacentral:rRNA from 2 species